UUGAACGCUGGCGGCAGGCCUAACACAUGCAAGUCGAGCGGAUGAAGGGAGCUUGCUCCUGGAUUCAGCGGCGGACGGGUGAGUAAUGCCUAGGAAUCUGCCUGGUAGUGGGGGAUAACGUCCGGAAACGGGCGCUAAUACCGCAUACGUCCUGAGGGAGAAAGUGGGGGAUCUUCGGACCUCACGCUAUCAGAUGAGCCUAGGUCGGAUUAGCUAGUUGGUGGGGUAAAGGCCUACCAAGGCGACGAUCCGUAACUGGUCUGAGAGGAUGAUCAGUCACACUGGAACUAGACACGGUCCAGACUCCUACGGGAGGCAGCAGUGGGGAAUAUUGGACAAUGGGCGAAAGCCUGAUCCAGCCAUGCCGCGUGUGUGAAGAAGGUCUUCGGAUUGUAAAGCACUUUAAGUUGGGAGGAAGGGCAGUAAGUUAAUACCUUGCUGUUUUGACGUUACCAACAGAAUAAGCACCGGCUAACUUCGUG
rnacentral:rRNA from 1 species